UUGUCCGAACUCAAAAACCAGAUGGCUGAACCCCCAUCCUCGGCACCCUCAGUAGGGACCUCUGAGGUGGAACAGCUACAAGAUGAGGCCAAACACCUGAGGAAGGAGGUGGAAAGCCUGGAGGGAAAGCUCCAAUCCCAGGUGAAAAGCAAUCAGACCUUGAGUCUCCUGAGCAAGGAACAAAAGGAGAGACUCCAGGAGCAGGAGGAGAGGAGGCUGCAGGAGCAGGAGAGACUGUGAGCAAAAGGGGAGGCUUUGGGAGCAGCAGAAGAGGCUGGGGGAGCAGGGUAAGAGGCUGCAAAAGCAGGAGGAGAGGCUGCAAACGGAGGAGGAGAGACUGUGGGAGAAGGAGGAGAGGCUACGAAAACAGGAGGAGAGGCUGCGAAUGCAGGAGGAGAGGCUCGCGCUCUCCCAGAACCACAAGUUCAACAAGCAACUGGCCAAGCCUUAGUGCAGCUUUGAGGAUCUGAACAAUGAGAACAAAAGCGCACUGCAUUGGAGCAGCAAGUAAAGCAGCUGCAGGAGAAGCUGAGCGAGGAGUGCCUAGAAGCUGCCGGCCAGCAGAACCAACAGCUGGAGGCCCAGCUGAGUCUCAUGGCUCUCCCUGGACAAGAAGAUGGAGGAGGACAUCUGGACACUGAGGAGGAGGGGGUGCCUCGGCCUAUGCCGAGUGUCCCAGAGGGCCUGGAGAGCCAGGAGGCCACAAUGAGUCUGACUAGCGGCUUUAUGGACCUCCCAAAGGAGAAGGUGGAUGGGAAGGAGCAGGUGGAGAAUCUAGAGCUUGGAUUCAUCCAGCUCUCUGGAGCAACAGACGGCAUGAGAGAGUACUUCACCAUAUAUGGGAGCCAAGGGGCAGUCCCAAACACGCGGCACCAGGAGGAGGAGGACGUCAGCAGUCUGGCCCAGAAUGAGGAGGAGAUGAACGUGAAGCUGCUGGAGCUGCAGGAGCUGGUGUUGCCGCUUGUGGGUGACCACGAGGGGCAUGACAAAUUCCUCCCCACUGCCCAGAACCCUGCUGAUGAGCCCGCUCCAGGGGCCACAGCCCCCCAGGAACUUGGGGCUGCCCAUGAGCAGGGUGAUUUUUAUGAGGUGAGCCUGGCCAACAGCAUGGAGCCUGCACCAGGAGAGGCCAGGGAGGGUUCUCCCCAUGACAACCCCACUGCACAGAAGAUUGUACAGCUGCUUCCUGUAAUGCAGGACACCCAGGAGCACCCAGGCUUUGCCAGCAAACCCUGCGUGCCAUUCUUUUACCGGGCAGCUGAGAACAGAGAGAUAAAAAUCAUCAUCAUCUAAGAGCUGGUCAAGAAAU